GCCAGUGGAGCUGUUAUGUAGAGACAAGAGGAAAGAGUAAAAUGGGCCGGUCAUUGUCUGUGAGUAAAGUUGCCACCUGGCCAGUAAAGAUGAUGUUGUUUUAGGGAAUAAAGAGGAAUAUAAAGGAAAAGGUAUAAAUCUAGCUGUGGCGCAUGAGCUGACGUGUUUGGGCCUAACUGUGCUACUAACACCUCAUAUUGUAACAAUAAAUAUUAAAGGCAAACUGUGUGCUGCCCAUUUUCUCCUUUUUCUUAUAAACGGGGCCUUUUUGUGGAAGAGAACGUGUGUGUGGCAAUGCGCGUGCGCAGGAGUCUGGCGCUAGGGAAUUAAGCGAACAUAAUAAUAGAAUGACGUAUGACCACUUCGCGCACGCGCACGCGUCACUGCCCGCAGUUUUACCAGUUGUUGUCGAGGCAAGAAAAUACGCGGUCUGACUGGCAGAGAAAACCUAUUGGCUGGAUCGAUCAGAUCGCGACCUAUUAGAGGUGUCAGCGAAGCCCGCUUAACGCCUAUUGGCUGCCCUGUCUGAAGGCGGGCGGGGAAAGGCAUGAAUAAAAACGCGGGCAGCUUCGGGGUGAACAAAUAUGGCGGCUCCUAUGUUAUGGGGGUAGCUCGGUGCCGUGUCUGGAGCAUUAUCGGUGACAGUCGGGGCUUAUGGAGCUCACGGUGAAUACGGACUGCACUUUCCUUGUGUAGAACUCUUUCCUUCCUGCCUCCUCUCCCCACAAUGCACCACUCCUGGCGCCCUGUGGCGUUGUGGGUAUUCCAGACGCAGCCCAAGGAUAGCGGCUGCGUGAUACAGAGGCGCUUCUUUACCCCGCCCAUUGUGAGGCACGUGUUGGGCGGGGCAUAAAGCAGGGCUGUGCUAGUAGCAGUCACGUGACUCCUGUCAGCAGCUGUGUGUGCGUCUGGUGAUAUCCAUGAAUGGUCCCAGGGGCUGGGGGAGGGGCCAGUGGCCUCAGUGUAACCCAAUAGCUUUUAGUCCCCGCCCCCUGUAUGUGUCUGUCAGGGGCUGCUGGGAGUUGUAGUUCAGUCAGUGUAUUUACAGGACAUGUGUGUUUAUUCCCUGUAACCCAGGGGUAGACAUCUCCAUCUUGUCGCAGAUUCAGUCCUGUCAGUUAGUGAGUGUUCCUGAGUGCGACACUGCGGUGCCAUUGAUCCCCCAGUCAGUAAGUGCGAGGCCUGUAUAGACGUCCCACGAGUGACCGACAAGACUGACUCAUUAUGGGCCUCAGUGACGUCACACAAGUCAUCAGCCACUUCUUUCUCUUUGCUCUGGUGUCGGAGGUGCGUGGGGGCCAGCGGGGGUGCAAUAUCUGGAACACUGAGUGGAGGGAGAACAAGGACCCCCCAGACUUUUCCACCUACUUCCUUGGGGGCUGAAAGACAGUGGAGAGUUUCCCCAGGGUAGAAGGUUCUCCAGGUUACUCUGUGUCAGUGCUGAGACCUCUCCUGCAGGGGUCGGAGACCCCAGGGCCUAUGUGAUAUGAGUGACCCUCCUGCACCUGUCAGAGAGGAGAACAGAGAAGAAGGGAGGGAGGAGACAGAGAGAAGAGGGGGUUCUCCAGCUCCCCAAGCUAAAGGCAAGAGAGGGGAAUUGCAAUUUCAGCUCUUAAAAUUACUAGAAGGAUUUUCCUCCUGAGAGCGCUGCUGCCUGGGGCAAUUUUCUCAACUCACUUUAUGGCUUUGUUACUACAACUUUUCAGCAGUCCUGAAGGGGGGGCAGUCUUUCCUAUAAGAGCAGAGCCCCCAUGAAUGAUAUCAGAUGCAACUGGCAAUUACAGACUGCCCAAACUUAACAAAGGCUCCUACAAUGUAACUCUGAUAUAUAUAACAGCAAAACUUCCCCUUUAAUCUGAUCCAGGAAAUCAAUGUAGGAAUGGGCUCAACUUCUAUUGUGCUGUCUCUUUCCUGCUGAAAUAAUCUCUCUCCAAAAAGUAUGCUGACGUAAUUACACCGCGUAUGCAUGAGACGCUUGUGGAUGCAAUAGAGCGCAAAACCCUUCCUAAAUCCUGCCGGGAAGCGACUAUUGUAGUUAUCCCUAAGGAAGGGAAGGACCCCCUCUCCCCAGGGUCAUAUAGACCCAUUUCUUUACUAAAUGUGGAUGCUAAGAUCAUGGCAAAGGUACUGGCCAAUAGAUUAAAACAUGUGAUUACAGAAAUAAUUCACCCUGAUCAGUCAGGGUUCAUGCCAGAGAGGUCCACUGACAUUAACAUCUGAAGGCUCUAUACCAACAUCUUGGCUGUGCAUAGAGAGAUAGGGAGUAGAGUGGUAGUCUCUCUGGAUGCUGCAAAGGCCUUCGACUCUGUGGAGUGGGGGUACCUAUGGGGGGUUAUGCAGAGGUUUGGUUUAGGUGAUCACUUUAUUGACUGGGUACAACUUCUAUAUAAGAACCCUCAGGCACGGAUCAGCGUCAACGGGGUGAUGUCACGGGAAUUCCGGCUGAGCCGGGGCACCCGCCAGGGAUGCCCCCUCUCACCGUUAUUAUUUGCCCUGGCCAUAGAGCCCUUGGCGAUCCUAAUACGCUCAGCCCAUUCUGUCAGGGGAAUGUAUUUGGGGCAGGAUGAGGAACGAAUAUCCCUAUAUGCGGAUGAUGUGCUGUUAUACCUAAAUGAUCCUGGCCCCUCCCUUCAGGCAGUACUUGAAAUCACUACAGAAUUUGGUCGAUUCUCAGGAUUGUGCAUUAACUGGGACAAGUUGAGUGUCUUCCCAGUAGAUGAGGGUUUAGAGCCUUUGGAUUACCCCCCCUCGCCAUUGAAAUGGGUUACUUCAUUUCGAUACUUAGGUAUUAUAAUUGUAAAAGAUAGCUCCAGAUACAAAGACCUAAAUCUAACCCCAAUAACAGAUAAUAUGUCACUUCAGCUUAAGCAAUGGGAAAAUUUACCUCUUACCCUAUGGGGCAGAAUCAACUUGCUAAAAAUGGUCUUCCUACCCAAAUAUCUGUAUAUCCUACAUAAUUCCCCUGUAUAUAUACCCAAAUCUGUUUUCCAGCGUAUAGAGCAAAUCCAGUCCUCGUUUAUAUGGGGAAAGAAAUCCCCCCGGUUCUCUAAACUUAAAUUGAAAGCACCACUCAGUGCAGGGGGACUGGGCUUCCCGGACCUUUUCUGUUACUUCCUGGCCUCGCAGCUGUUUUAUAUAGCCUUAGGCUGGUGCCAGACCCACUCAACCCCAAUCUUAAACUGCAAACUACUCUGGCUGGCUCGGUUGAUUCCCUGAAAUAUAUUGUGUACCGGAAGGUGUCCGACCUACCAGUGAAGCAUCCGGUCCUUACUACCCCCCAUAGAGCAUGGACAAUGGCCAUGCGAACUCUUCGCCUUUCUAAUCCGCUGCUUACCGAGGAUCUCCCACUGUGGGGCAACUCACACUUGCCCCACUUUGGGCCACUCCUCACUUACAUGAGAUGGCCGGGAGCUGGGAUUAUGACGUUGGGGGAUGCGGCGCCGGAUGGGCUACUCCUCACUAGGGAUCAAAUGAUCCAGGCACACCCGGGGGCACAGGUUAGUCAUAUGGGCUAUUUGCAAUUUCGACACGCCUUUGUGGCGCAAUUUACAUCUAAUAGGUUGGAGUUGGCUUUACCUCCUGUGUUGGAAAUGCUGAAGUCUCCAUCUCAGAAAAAAUUGAUAACCAAAUUGUAUAGUACUUUGCUCUCUACCUUUCCCUCACCGUUUGCCAGGGCAUACGCAUUGUGGCAGACCGGAAUUCCUGAUCUCACACAGGAGGAAUGGGACAAAUCCACCUCUACAGCGUAUCAAUAUCUCAUUGCUACUAGGGACAGGUUGAUUCAGUUUAAACUACUACAUCAGCUCCACAUUACACCAUUGAGGCUGAGUCGUAUGGGUGAUGCGAGUAAGGCGUCCGGUCCCAAAUGUCAACAGGGGGAGGUGGGAUAUCUUCAUAUGAUAUGGGACUGCCCUAAGGUGCAUAGAUUCUGUCCCAUAUACAGGACAAAACGACCUUCCCCAAAAUAAUGUCACCACAAGUAUGUGUUCUUGCAGUGGUAGACGAGGUGACCCCCUUUAGAGCAAAGAGAGACCUCUGGCGUAGCCUACUGUAUUAUGCUAGGAAAGCGCUCCUUAUGAAAUGGAUGGACCCAAAAGUGCCCUCCUUACAGUUUUGGUUGGACCUUAUUAAUAAAAAUCUUCCACUGAUUCAGAUGACGUAUUUUGCCAGAGGGUGCCCCGCCAAAUUUGAGAAAACCUGGGAGAACUGGACGGAGGCCAAUUCUUAGACUAUUGGGCUUCUGUAGUGAUACACGGGCUGGUGUCCAGAAAUGAAACUUAGGUGCACCUGAUAUUACAAUGUCUCUAUGCAUCUGUUACUUUGUGCUUCUUGAAUAUGCUAUGCUUUAUGUACUGAGGUGAGGUCUACUAUUUUUUGCCAUUACACUGUAUUUUGUGGACUGUGUGGAAUGUACCUGAUACCCCCCUUUUUUUCUCCUGUACCCCCCCACCUUGAAAACAAAAUAAACACUGUUAAAAAAAGAAAUAAUCUCUCUCUCUAUAUAUUUAUAAAUGUAUGUGUCAAUAUUACAUCCAAUUAAAUGUUUAUUCACCUGAA